rnacentral:lncRNA from 1 species
GGUAGGUCACGGGAGUCGGGCCUCUGGAGGGCCUACCCUGUCCCUACCCCCUUUCUCUCUGCAUUUCGUGCUCUCUGCUUUCUGGUUGCUGUGCUGUUUCUGCCACAUCACAGGCCUAAAAGUAAUGGAGUCACUAACUGUGAUCUGAAAUCUCUGAAACCAUAAAGAUAAGCAAUUUCUCCAAAAUUCUUCCUGCUGAGCACAUAACCAACAUCUCCUCUUCUGAGCCCAGAUGAGGCGACAGAAUAUGCUGAUGCCAGCCCCAGGAGGCUGGAGCCCAGUUUCCUUUCCAUAGGAAAAGAGAUGAAGGGCCAGGGAUUUAGCUCAGUUGUUCCACUGCCUGCUUCUCAAAUGCAAGGUCCUGAGUUUGAUCCUUGGUACUCUCCCCCAAAAAAGAGAUGAUGAGUUGAAGAUGGCUGGAAGCAUUAAAGCAGGUGGGAAAGGCUGUCCCCAGCUGUCCGCAGUUUUUCAUGGCACGGCUGAGACUAUGGUAUGAAGAUAUGACUUUGACAUCUUGAAGGAUCAGGGAUGAAGGCAAGUGAGUACAGCAUAAAGUCACUUACUGGAGCUGCUGCUGAGCUGUUCUCAGAGUCCACAGGCCCAGGACCGUCCUCUGUGCCCCUUUCCUGGCUGGCAGUCUCUGUAGCUCCAGCUGGUCUAGGCAGGGCCGACAUGGGCGAUCACUCCUCAGCUCUGUGAUUCUCCAGCCACCUCUGCACCUUGGAAGACAGAAGCAUCUGACUUCAGAUCCCCAGAGAGAACAGGUUUCCACCCAUGUCCACACCACAUCUAACACAAGAACAAGAUUUACCUCCUUUCACGAUGAGUGAUAUGGAAAUAUCUACUCCUUUCAGGUAUGCAGUCAGCACUGAGAACCCAACAAGAUGAUCUCAAUAGUUAGACAGUACAUUUCCCCAAAG